UAUCCACAACAGUGGCUUUUGUGAUGAUUUCCUGACUGGGCUCACUAAAAGUAAGCUGUGAAUACAACACCUUGAAUGGCCAGGAAGUGUUCAGAAUUUGACCAAGCGCCGGAGUGAAGUGGCCGCUUGAUUAAAGCCCCUGAAACUGCUGUUGUUCUCUCAGCUGCCCAGUGGGAUGAAAGGACCGUGUGUCACUAUGGACACGGCGUGGCAAAGCAAGGAUCCAUAUGCCCUGCAGGAAGUGUGGUGCUUUUCGUUUUCUUUAAACUGAGAGACAAUCUCUUCCUGGCCAGCUGGCAAGCACAGGGAACUGAAUAAGGUUCAUGCCCUACAGUGACUGUAGGCAGGUGCAUCGCUUCCAGGAGGUGGCCUUGGUUCUUCCAUUGCAAGAACAAACAAUUUGAAAAUUAUCCAAAAGUUUGAUUGGUGUCUGGGAGGCAGGAAGCAUUGCCUGAGUAGCUACCUGUCUUACAGCAUGUUCUCCAGAGCUGAUGUUUGGGUCUGAUGAAGGAAGUGCCAUCUGCAUCUGAUGAGACCAACUGAGCUUUUUUGGGAACAUUUUCCAGGAAGAAUUUGUCUCUAGCGCACUGUUCAA
rnacentral:lncRNA from 1 species